rnacentral:rRNA from 3 species
GACAGAGGGUGCUAGCGUUGUUCGGAAUUACUGGGCGUAAAGGGCGCGUAGGCGGCUCGUUUAGUCGGGUGUGAAAUCCCAAGGCUCAACCUUGGAACUGCAUUCGAUACUGGCGGGCUAGAGACCGGAAGAGGUGGGUGGAAUACCCAGUGUAGAGGUGAAAUUCGUAGAUAUUGGGUGGAACACCGGUGGCGAAGGCGGCUCACUGGUCCGGUUCUGACGCUGAGGCGCGAAAGCGUGGGGAGCAAACAGG